rnacentral:rRNA from 1 species
GAUGAACGCUAGCUACAGGCUUAACACAUGCAAGUCGAGGGGAAACGGCAUUAAGUGCUUGCACUUUUUGGACGUCGACCGGCGCACGGGUGAGUAACGCGUAUCCAACCUUCCCAUGACUAAGGGAUAACCUGCCGAAAGGCAGACUAAUACCUUAUGGUCUUCACUGACGGCAUCAGAUGUGAAGUAAAGAUUUAUCGGUUAUGGAUGGGGAUGCGUCUGAUUAGCUUGUUGGCGGGGUAACGGCCCACCAAGGCAACGAUCAGUAGGGGUUCUGAGAGGAAGGUCCCCCACAUUGGAACUGAGACACGGUCCAAACUCCUACGGGAGGCAGCAGUGAGGAAUAUUGGUCAAUGGGCGAGAGCCUGAACCAGCCAAGUAGCGUGCAGGAUGACGGCCCUAUGGGUUGUAAACUGCUUUUGUAUGGGGAUAAAGUCAAUCACGGGUGAUUGUUUGCAGGUACCAUACGAAUAAGAACCGGCUAAUUCCGUG